AGUGAACGCUGGCGGUAGGCCUAACACAUGCAAGUCGAACGGCAGCACAGUAAGAGCUUGCUCUUAUGGCUGGCGAGUCGCGGACGGGUGACGAAAACAACGCACUCUACUUUUUCGUGGGGGAUACCGUAGGGCAACCUACGCUAAUACCGCAUACGACCUACGGGUGAAAGCAGGGGAUCUUCGGACCUCCCGCGAGUCAAUGAGCCGAUGUCGAGUUAGCUAGUUGGAGGGGGAAACGCCCACCAAGGCGACGGACCGUAGCUGGUCUUUGAGGAUGAUCAGCCACACUGGAAGUGAGACACGGUCCAGACUACUACGGGAGGCAGCAGUCAGGAAUAUUGGACAGUGGGCGCAAGCCUGAACCAGCCAUACCGCGUGGGUCAAGAAGGCCUUCGGCUUGUAAAGCACUUUUGUUGGGAAAGAAAAGCAGCAGGUUAAUACCCCGCUGUUCUGACGGUACCCAAAGAAUAAGCACCGGCUAACUUCGUG
rnacentral:rRNA from 1 species